AGUUCACGCUCACGAGAAGCUCUGCAGUAGCAGUAGCUAGCUAGCACAGUGGUUAGAGCGUGCUGGUCAGAAGAAUCAUGGCUCGGAACGCAAGACACUAAGGCUACAUUGGCUGAUGGCUGAUGACUGAUGGCUGAUGACUGCAACCCAGAACUGAGGAGAGCACUUUCUGUGUGGGACUGAGGAAGAACACAGCACUUCAGAGACAGAAAGAUGUGGGGAGAGCUAGGAGGAGCCCACCUUUCCCAUGACACCUGCAUCUUUGCCUCUCCCUUCGGACAUCAGACCUUUCCUGGGUUCAAAACGGACCUGAGAAGCUCCUGUGUCAGUAGGGACUCCUGGGCCACACAGGUUCCUGCGAGUGGAGACUAAUGGAUUUCUAUGAGGGCCCCUAGCACCUCAUGUCAGGGGAUCUCAUUCACAGUGACAAAUGGAGCACGUAUGUAAACCUGAACUUCUCAUCACCCUGCACGUGUUUGCUGCAUUCCUUUUCCCUUGAAGUAUGUGGAUGAAUAGAAAGUCUUUAACCCGAAAAAAAGUAAAAGAUGCCAGCUCUCCACCUUCGACUUCUGCCACCAUGCCUAAUGCUUGCAUUCCUACCAUGGUGAACUCUCAUCCCUCCGGAGCAUUACGUCAAAAUAAACUCAUUUUUCCAGAAGAAGGAGGAGGAGGACGAAGAGGAAGAGGAAAGGGAAAGAAAAACCGAAAGCCUAAGGGACCUUACCAUGACAGGCAGCUAAGAAGGAGCCUCCAAAAUGCACCUGGGAGCCACAGAAAGCCAUAUCAAGAGGGCACCAGGGCCUCUAGACUUUUAGAAAAGCUUUCUAUUAUGCCACAAGACCCACACAGCACUUCAAGGAGAAGAUGUGAAGAUAGUUUUUAAGAGAAAAACCCCUGUCGCUUAGGACAUGGCACAGCUGGGUUCAUGGCAGGCCCAUCUGCUUUCUCAUACAAAUUAUUCAGCCAAUGAAGCAUUGUGGAGAGAAGGCAGGAGGCCUUUGAAGUCAGCUGUGCUUCCUCGGGUGGCUUCGGUUUUCCUGGGCAGCUGAUUUUCACAUAUCCAUCUUCUGGUUCUAACUUGGCCUCCCCUGAGCCCAACAGAGGCUCUACCUCGUUGUUCAUUAACCAGGAGGAAUGCAUAUGGGGCUUAAGGGCUUUCAAGAACUCUGCCAUUGUAGGGUGGCUGAUUUAUGGCCCUGUAUUUACAGCUCCAACAUGGUCCAGCUUGUCCAAAGAAAGGGAGGUAGGCCUUUCUGUUCUGAGUAACAAAGAGAUGGCAACCCAGCAGCAUGGAGGGCUGCUGCACUCUGGGAAAACUGUGAACAACAAACCUGAACUCUGCAUGUGCAGGCACCCGGAGAAGAUGCUUCUUCUUUGAGGGCUAGGGGCCUGUUGGUGGUGUGUGCGGCCUGGGGGCCUGUUGGUGGUGUGUGCAGGCUGGUGACCUGUUGGUGGUGUGUGUGGGCUGGUGACCUGUUGGUGGUGUGUGCGGGCUGGGGGCCUGUUGGUGACAGAUGCACUACUCUGUAUUUGCACCACCACAGGACUCUAGAGAGACACCAUUGCUGCCAAGAGGACUCUACUUGAAGACAACAGAAUAAAUCACCAAUAUUCAGUUAAUCCUGGAGUGACUAAAAACCAGCACAUUCAUUCAUUCGUUUGUCCAUUUGCUCAUUUGUUUACAACUCUGUAGCAUAAAGCUGCUGCCAAACUCGAGUUCCUCCUAGCUCAGCCAUCCAAGAGCUGGACAACAGGCAUGUACCUCUAUGCUCACUAAAAACUGAAAACAGUUCUUUUCUACUGUUUUCCCAGAAAAAAAAAUAAAGCAUGUUUCUUACCAAUAA